rnacentral:rRNA from 1 species
CCCUGCCAUUUGUACACACCGCCCGUCGCUCCUACCGAUUGAAUGUUAAGGCGAACCCUCCGGAAUCGCGGUUCGGAUUAGGCAACUUUUCUGAACUAACGAUGAAGUUGUGUAAGCCUUGACAUUUA